CUGUCAGUUGGUAGGUCCCUAACCCUCUGUCCAUCAUCAUGUCUGCCUGUAAGUAGGUAGGUCCCUAACCCUUUGUCCAUCAUCAUGUCUGCCUGUAAGUAGGUAGGUCCCUAAUCCUCUGUCCAUCAUCAUGUCUGUCUGUCAGUUGGUAGGUCCCUAACCCUCUGUCCAUCAUCGUGUCUGCCUGUAAGUAGGUAGGUCCCUAAUCCUCUGUCCAUCAUCAUGUCUGUCUGUCAGUUGGUAGGUCCCUAACCCUCUGUCCAUCAUCAUGUCUGCCUGUAAGUAGGUAGGUCCCGAACCCUCUGUCCAUCAUCAUGUCUGUCUGUAAGUAGGUAGGUCCCUAACCCUCUGUCCAUCAUCGUGUCUGUCUGUCAGUUGGUAGGUCCCUAACCCUUUGUCCAUCAUCAUGUAUGUCUGUCAGUUGGUAGGUCCCUAACCCUCUGUCCAUCAUCAUGUCUGUCUGUCAGUUGGUAGGUCCCUAACCCUUUGUCCAUCAUCAUGUCUGUCUGUCAGUUGGUAGGUCCCUAACCCUUUGUCCAUCAUCAUGUCUGUCUGUCAGUUGGUAGGUCCCUAACCCUUUGUCCAUCAUCAUGUCUGUCUGUC